UUGAACGCUGGCGGUAUGCUUAACACAUGCAAGUCGAACGGAAACGAUACUAGCUUGCUAGUAGGCGUCGAGUGGCGGACGGGUGAGUAACGCGUAGGAAUCUGCCUGAUAGUGGGGGAUAGCCCGAAGAAAUUCGGAUUAAUACCGCAUAAUCUAUUCGUAGUAAAGUGGGGGACUUUCGAGCCUCACGCUAUCAGAUGAGCCUGCGUAAGAUUAGCUUGUUGGUAGGGUAAAAGCCUACCAAGGCGACGAUCUUUAGCUGGUCUGAGAGGAUGAUCAGCCACAUCGGGACUGAGACACGGCCCGAACUCCUACGGGAGGCAGCAGUGGGGAAUAUUGGACAAUGGGGGCAACCCUGAUCCAGCAAUACCGCGUGUGUGAAGAAGGCCUGAGGGUUGUAAAGCACUUUCAAUUGUGAAGAAAAGUUAGCGGUUAAUAACCGUUAGCCUUGACGUUAACUUUAGAAGAAGCACCGGCUAACUCCGUGCCAGCAGCCGCGGUAAUACGGAGGGUGCAAGCGUUAAUCGGAAUUACUGGGCGUAAAGCGUGCGUAGGCGGUUUAUUAAGUCAGAUGUGAAAGCCCCGGGGCUUAACCUGGGAACUGCAUUUGAAACUGGUCAACUAGAGUAUGGUAGAGGAAAGUGGAAUUUCUGGUGUAGCGGUGAAAUGCGUAGAUAUCAGAAGGAACAUCAAAUGGCGAAGGCAGCUUUCUGGACCAAUACUGACGCUGAGGUACGAAAGCGUGGGUAGCAAACAGGAUUAGAUACCCUGGUAGUCCACGCCGUAAACGAUGAUAACUAGCCGUUGGGGGGAUUUACCCUUUAGUGGCGAAGCUAACGCGUUAAGUUAUCCGCCUGGGGAGUACGGCCGCAAGGUUAAAACUCAAAGGAAUUGACGGGGACCCGCACAAGCGGUGGAGCAUGUGGUUUAAUUCGAUGCAACGCGAAGAACCUUACCUGGUCUUGACAUCCUGCGAACUUUCUAGAAAUAGAUUGGUGCCUUCGGGAACGCAGUGACAGGUGCUGCAUGGCUGUCGUCAGCUCGUGUCGUGAGAUGUUGGGUUAAGUCCCGUAACGAGCGCAACCCCUAUCCUUAUUUGCCAGCACAUCAUGGUGGGAACUAUAAGGAGACUGCCGGUGAUAAACCGGAGGAAGGCGGGGACGACGUCAAGUCAUCAUGGCCCUUACGACCAGGGCUACACACGUGCUACAAUGGGAAGGACAAAGAGCCGCGAAGCCGCGAGGUGUAGCUAAUCUCAUAAACCUUUUCGUAGUCCGGAUUGGAGUCUGCAACUCGACUCCAUGAAGUCGGAAUCGCUAGUAAUCGUAGAUCAGAAUGCUACGGUGAAUACGUUCCCGGGUCUUGUACACACCGCCCGU
rnacentral:rRNA from 1 species